GAGGGUAUAGCUCAGUGGUAGAGAGCAUGCCUAGCAUGCAUAAGGUCCUGAGUUCAAUCUCUGAUACCUCCA
rfam:Camelus ferus unplaced genomic scaffold scaffold212, whole genome shotgun sequence.